AGUGAACGCUGGCGGUAGGCCUAACACAUGCAAGUCGAACGGCAGCACAGUAAGAGCUUGCUCUUACGGGUGGCGAGUGGCGGACGGGUGAGGAAUACAUCGGAAUCUACUUUUUCGUGGGGGAUAACGUAGGGAAACUUACGCUAAUACCGCAUACGACCUACGGGUGGAAACAGGGGAUCUUCGGACCUUGCGCGAUUGAAUGAGCCGAUGUCGGAUUAGCUAGUUGGCGGGGUAAAGGCCCACCAAGGCGACGAUCCGUAGCUGGUCUGAGAGGAUGAUCAGCCACACUGGAACUGAGACACGGUCCAGACUCCUACGGGAGGCAGCAGUGGGGAAUAUUGGACAAAGGGCGCAAGCCUGAUCCAGCCAUACCGCGUGGGUGAAGAAGGCCUUCGGGUUGUAAAGCCCUUUUGUUGGGAAAGAAAAGCAGCAGGUUAAUACCCCGCUGUUCUGACGGUACCCAAAGAAUAAGCACCGGCUAACUUCGUG
rnacentral:rRNA from 1 species